CCCGCCAUGGACGGCGGCGGUUUUAGCCUUGAGAGUUUUGCGUACGCAAAACUCUGAGAUGAAAAAGGUACAAGGAUGUACGGUUUUUGAUGGAG
rnacentral:sRNA from 1 species